rnacentral:lncRNA from 1 species
UGGUCGUUGCCCUCUCAGAUUCCUGUUCGGACUGGAGGAUGUGGAUAGUGUCCUCCAACGUCGUCGCCCUUGCCACAGCCGACGCCCGAGCAUUCUCGGCACUCUCCAACUCAGACAUUUUCCUCUCCAGCUCGGCCAAUUUCCCCAUCCACUCGGCACCCAAAUCCUUCACUCUGGCGGCAUUUUGAUCAAGUUCAAACUGCAAUGACAAUACCUUCGCCUGAAGAUGCUCACAUUUUACAGCGACCCCCUUUCCCAACUCGAGUUCCCCAUCAUUCGCCUCAAGCUCACUAUUCCUGUGAAUGGACUGCAUUAGCUCUUGAUCCCUUUUCUCCAUCUCCUCCCCGAGAGAUUGAUUAACGACGCCUGCCCUGAGCCGCUCAUGCAUCUCAUGGCACUUGUUGCGGUAGUUCCCUCAGCCCUGGUAGCACUUUCGAUCUCCAGCAUGUAAGACUGAAAAGCCAAAAAAGUGAAGAGAAAAGAGUCGAUACAGGCCAAGGCCGCCAAAACAAAAGGAACACGAAAAAGAAACAAAGAGGAGAAACUUACCCUCAGGCCCAUAGCGGCCACUUCAUGCAUCAAUUUGACGUCACUGAUGUCCCGAAGAGCCUCACACUCAGCCUCGGAGCAUUAAAGGUCAAAUUGCAGCACCAAACCCUCCAUGUCCCACAAAAGAUUGAGCUUCGAUGGAAUCUCAAGUAUACGGGAAGAAGCUCCCACUCUUACCACAGUACGGUUAAAGCCCUCUUCGAACAUCCUGACAUCAUCAGGAUCAAGAUCGGAUUCAGACUCGUAAUCGUCAAGCACAACGCCUUUUCCCCUCUCCGCGGUCGAAGCCGUGGCAAGAGUUGACCUGGAUGACGAAGGGCCGCCCACGACAACAACGACAGCCUCAGAGCUCCGUCUCUCCGCCACAAUAGCAUGUUGAUCACUUACAAUGGGAACAACCUCUGCCACCGGAUUGACCUUUGUAACCGAGUUAGCACCAUCACCGAUUUUAGAUACCGCCGCGGGCGAGGGGGGGUCGCCUCCCGAAGAUGCCUCAACUGGAGGAGCCAAUUCUAACUCCACUCGACAUCUCUUCGACGGGCCUUUUUCAUUGUCAUCACGGGAAGAUUCACCCGUUGAACAGAUGGUAGAAGCCGGAGUCUCAGGUUGAGGAGUUUUCUCCGUGCGCAUAACCCCGACCAUAGGAACAGAUUGUGUAGCAGAUCUCGGUGCAGGCCGAGUAGCGGCCCUCAGAGCGGGUCAUGCAGGAGGCACAGGUUGACGAAAUGCAAGCGGAAGAGCCCUCGCCCUUCGCACUCUCCCUGCCAGCAAAGAAAGACGUUCAUACAACGACGAGAUCAAACCAUAGAGCAUGAAAAUAUAUAGCAUUUGCAGCGGGUCGACUCACCAGUAAGAGGCUUAUGCCCAUAUCUCUCAUAGAGGGCCACCCAUUUACGAACCCCCAUUAUAUGGAUAAGAAUGGCAUUCACCCACUCACAGAUGUCAUCGACUAGGGGGGAGACAAUCUCUCGGUUGCGAAAGCAAAAGCAUGUUAGCAUCACCAUCUAAAAAUAAAAUAAUCGACCACCACCUCAAGGGAAGAUAAAAUAAAUAAUAGAAAACUUACGGGCGAAGUUCCACGUCUCGGGGAACCCUGUUGGGUCCGCCACAAGGUGUUCGGUCCGCACGUAAAAGUAGUUUUCCCAGGAAUGGCAAUUAGCCUUAUCGUCCAUCUUGACCACCAAAUUCUUUGUCCCUCGGGUGCGCAUAUGGAUCAUCGUGCCUCGAAUUAGUUGGGGGGCAAACAUAUUGAGCAUAUGCCCCAAAUUGACCUAUCGGCCAGCGAGCUCUGCGUACUUGAGCAGCAUGAGGAAGAGUUUGCACACGUAGGGCGAAAGUUGAGCUGGGCACACUUCGUAAAAGCGGCAGAAGUCUAUCACUAGAGAGAGGAGAGGAAGCGUAUACCCGACAACAAAGGGGUACGCGUAGAAUGCGCAAUACCCCGGGCGAUAAAAGUGAACAUUAUCCCUUCCCAUCACCGGCACCAUUUCAAUAUGGUUCGAAAUUCCCAACCUGGCCUUGAGCGCCGCUAUCGCCGCUUCAUCCAUGGUAGAGGGUGCAGGAUCAGGUUCUUCUCUGGCAGGGCUGUUGAAAUCGGUCUAUAAUUUCCCCGGACGAGGCAGUAUCUCAGCCGUUGUUGGAACUCCCCCAUCUACCGCCGGCUUCGCUCCCUUUUCAAGAACAGGCACGUCAUUUUCCGGCACCGGAGCUUCGGCGGGCCUGUCAUUCUUGGAAGAGGAACCAACCAUUUACCUAAAUUUGAUCGGAAUAAACCAGAGUGAUGAUGGAAAAGAUAGGAUGCUCACAUCGAAACUCCGACGGAAGCAGAAAUGUGAAGCCGAGAGUAUGAAGUAUUGAAGAUGGAGAUUUGCAAAAUUCUCAGGUGAGUUGAAAAGUGUAACGAUCAAGUGGUGGCUUCCCCUAUUUAUAGAGACACAAAUGUUCUGAGCGGGAAACCCAAGAGCCGCCAAUUAAAAAAAAACUGAAAAGGCACGGGAAACGAUAUGGUGCAUGGGAAAUGUGUGCCAUAAUGAUGCACGAUGGGAAUUCACGACGUUUCGGAUCGAUGCAACGAUUCGGUUCCGAACUGACGUAACGGUUCGAUGACGCCACUGAAGCGUCACGUUAUCACCAUGCCUUAAGGGCCUCGUUCGACUCGUAAUGUUUAGAUUUUUCCUAACUUUUGAAUCGAUAAAAUCCGUCCAUUUAACUCGCCGAGAGGCGACCCCAACAGACGGAGGGACUAACUGUAUGAGUCAAAAUCUGACCAUAAGUGGUCAUCCUCAAGAGGGAUGAUAAGGGGUCGACGCGGCCGUAAUCAUGCCCACGGGGCGAGAUAGCAAAAAGCACUUCGGCCAUCGCCGGAGUCGAACCAUCAGAAAGCAUUCAUCCCAGAUUCGAGUAGACGAUGAAGGAUACAUUCGUAAGAAAGCAUGCUGGUCAAAGACCAUUGGAUAAAAGGGAAAGGAACUAUAUAUAUGGGGGGAAUUCCUUAGAAAGAGGGGAGAAUAGAAAAGGAGAUAAGAAGAAUCCCUUGUUUGUCGACAGCUAUCUCGCUUCCCCUUCUUUGCUCCCUUGUUCAUGGUGCAUCUCUGCUCUGGAUGUAAGCACAUCUCUCAUGUUUGAUGUACGAUUGCCAUAUUAAUAAAUCUUAUACAUGCUUACUCUUCUUUAUUUCGCGCUUUAUAAGUUUGGAUAUGAAAUUAAUUAUAUAUGUUUGGCAAAGAUUUACCUCCUUUAUUAUUGAUAAUUAGUUUGACAAAAGGAUUUUAAACUUUGUGCCCAAACAUAAUAGUCUUGGCUUCUUUGAGGUAACAAAUUGAUUGAAUACGUUCCCCUUACAUUUUAUGUAUUUGACCCUAUGCUCUCCUUCACAAAACAUGCCCGAUCAACAUUUUCAUAUACAUUCAAGCAGCAAAUUAUUUUGUGUCGUGUUUUUGCUUAUGAAUUGCAUUAAAAUAUUAUGGAUAUGUGGUGCAUAAUAUAAACAUAUACUUAAUCAAUCAAAACACUCAAAACUAAUUAAUCACAAAAUAAUAAGGUGAAAAAUCAAUAAAUUAAUUACCCUUGAACGCUUUGUAAAGUUGCAUGGCAUCGUCACGAGGCGAUGUUAAAACUGGAGGUAUAAUCAAUGUAGCCAUAUGUAUCUGUUAAUUCUGUGCUACCGAUCUCCCGUGAAGAAAACCAAUACAGAAUGGUUUCGCCUAUUCAAAAUUAAUUAAGAAGAGAUCGAUGCCGCCUACUACUAAAAUCUUGGUUUCUCUCUCUUUUUUUCUCUCCCUUCUUUUAGAUAUUUUUGAUAGUAAAUCAAAAAGAGAGAGAAAGGUAUAACAGAGAGAAACAUUGAUCAGUAGAAUAUUGGAGACAUGCAAUGUAACGUAAGUGAUCAUUCAGAAUAGAGUUAGAAAACUUUGCAUGAAUUAAU